rnacentral:rRNA from 1 species
GAUAAACGCUGGCGGCGCACAUAAGACAUGCAAGUUGAACGGACUUAAUCGAAAUAUUUAUAUUUUGAAGCGGUUAGUGGCGGACUGGUGAGUAACGCGUAAGGAACCUGCCUAUUAGAGGGGAAUAACAGUGAGAAAUCAUUGCUAAUACCGCAUAUGCCAUAGAUAUCACAUGAUAACAGUGGGAAAGGAGCAAUCCGCUAAUAGAUGGCCUUGCGUCUGAUUAGAUAGUUGGUGGGGUAACGGCCUACCAAGUCGACGAUCAGUAGCCGGACUGGGAGGUUGAACGGCCACAUUGGGACUGAGAUACGGCCCAGACUCCUACGGGAGGCAGCAGUCGGGAAUAUUGCGCAAUGGAGGAAACUCUGACGCAGUGACGCCGCGUAUAGGAAGAAGGUUUUCGGAUUGUAAACUAUUGUCGUUAGGGAAGAGAAAGGACAGUACCUAAGGAGGAAGCUCCGGCUAACUACGUG